rnacentral:tRNA from 1 species
GGGCCGGUAGCUCAGCUUGGAUAGAGCACAACACUCCUAAUGUUGGGGUCGUGAGUUCGAAUCUCACCCGGCUCG